rnacentral:rRNA from 1 species
AGUCGAACGGUAACAGGAAGCAGCUUGCUGCUUUGCUGACGAGUGGCGGACGGGUGAGUAAUGUCUGGGAAACUGCCUGAUGGAGGGGGAUAACUACUGGAAACGGUAGCUAAUACCGCAUAACGUCGCAAGACCAAAGAGGGGGACCUUCGGGCCUCUUGCCAUCGGAUGUGCCCAGAUGGGAUUAGCUAGUAGGUGGGGUAACGGCUCACCUAGGCGACGAUCCCUAGCUGGUCUGAGAGGAUGACCAGCCACACUGGAACUGAGACACGGUCCAGACUCCUACGGGAGGCAGCAGUGGGGAAUAUUGCACAAUGGGCGCAAGCCUGAUGCAGCCAUGCCGCGUGUAUGAAGAAGGCCUUCGGGUUGUAAAGUACUUUCAGCGGGGAGGAAGGGAGUAAAGUUAAUACCUUUGCUCAUUGACGUUACCCGCAGAAGAAGCACCGGCUAACUCCGUGCCAGCAGCCGCGGUAAUACGGAGGGUGCAAGCGUUAAUCGGAAUUACUGGGCGUAAAGCGCACGCAGGCGGUUUGUUAAGUCAGAUGUGAAAUCCCCGGGCUCAACCUGGGAACUGCAUCUGAUACUGGCAAGCUUGAGUCUCGUAGAGGGGGGUAGAAUUCCAGGUGUAGCGGUGAAAUGCGUAGAGAUCUGGAGGAAUACCGGUGGCGAAGGCGGCCCCUGGACGAAGACUGACGCUCAGUGCGAA